rnacentral:rRNA from 1 species
CCCUUAGAUGUUCUGGGCUGCACGCGCGCUACACUGAUGCGCUCAACGAGUUUACGACCUUGCCCGGAAGGGUUGGGUAAUCUUUUUAAAACGCAUCGUGAUGGGGAUAGAUUAUUGCAAUUAUUAAUCUUUAACGAGGAAUUCCUAGUAAGCGCGAGUCAUCAGCUCGUGCUGAUUACGUCCCUGCCCUUUGUACACACCGCCCGUCGCUCCUACCGAUUGAGUGGUCCGGUGAGGCUUUGGGAUCUGAGCGAAAAGAGCGUUUCGCUGUUUCUGCUCGGAAAACUCAGUCGAACCUUAUCAUUUAGAGGAAGGAGAAGUCGUAACA